CCUGGGGCCUAGAGAGGAGCACCGGAGGGAAUGGUCAGUCGGGGAACGUGACCGAGCCCCGUAGUGUCGCCGGAGGCGUGAGGGGUCAGACCAGACUUUCAGCAGACUCGAGGCGGGGACCCUGGGACUAGCAAGUUACCCACCCAGCUGCCACCUUCCUGAGCGGGGAAUGGACCUUGUUCUCACCUGCGGGUUACGUUUGCUUUCCUCGUUGUGUGCGGCAGAGGUGAACCUGCUCAAAGCUUCACAGCUAGUUAGGAUCCGGGAAGACAAAGCCGCAGAGGCGUCCUCAAAACCGCGGGACAGCCGCGCUCUUCCUCAAACACUGCACUUUCCAGCUGUCUGGCAGCAGGCCAACGGCGGAGAGCGUAAGGAUUAGAAUAUUAACCAGAAGACCCUGGAAAUUCCACUAUUAACUUAAUGACUGGGGAACUUUUUCAGAAAAGGAAGAUUUUUAGAGCAGUGAUUGUUCACUCUCGGGAGAAGGAGCUCCUGGGACCAAUCCCCCUGCAGACACCAGAUGUUGACAGUGCAAUGGUUAGGGAAAGAAGUGUCCCCUGCGUUGGACAUUUAAGAAAGUCAUUAAUUCCCAGCCAAUACACUUACUUCCCCAAGGACAGGGUCUCACUACAUAGUUCAGGCUGGCCUUGAACUCACUAUGUAGCCCAGGCUGGCCUCGAACUCACAGUGAUCCUCGUGCCUCAGCCUCCCGAGUGCUGGGAUUACAGACGUGAGAUAGCACACCUGCCUGACAUGAUUUAAUUUGAAGAGGUAAAAUGGACAAAAGGUAAAGACUGAUUGCAUUAUAAGAGUAUAAGGAUGAUCCCCUGAUUUACUGUUUAUGAGAGGGCAUGUUGGAG
rnacentral:lncRNA from 1 species